GACAUCGAAUAAUUUUUCAGGGUUAAUUUUCUUCCUCUUGUCUAAUUUUUUUUUUUUUAAGUUUGGAGUCAUUGUCUGAAGAUUAUUAGACCCAUCCUAUCCUGGCAAGGAUGCUGUAUCCCAAGGAUUCUGCUUCCAUCCCAAGGACAGCUCUUCUGCACUUUGCCAAUUUCUGUGCUCCUUCUACCGACCCUGAGUUUUUAUUUAGAAGGUCAAAUGCUUGAGAGAGAACUUGAUAAAACAGCCAAGAGGGACACGAAGAUCUGAACUCUUUGGUCUCCUUUGGCUUUUGACCUGAAUCCCAUGUACACUUGAGUUUAGCAGGCCUCAGAAUGACCAAAGACAAGAAGCUAAUUGGCCUUUGCCUUCUCAGAAAGGUCCUCUUUCUCAAGUUCUCUGGACCAUCAAGCUUUCUCCAGCAAUCUGAAGUGCAAUGAUUGAACACAGCUUAAUUAAUGAUGACAGGAGGCAGCACUGAGAGGCGGAGCCACGGUUGGAAGGGAGCCUGUAUCCCGAGUCAAGACUUAGAAGAAAUCCACCUGGGAAAUCCACCUAACCAGCAUCAGAAUGCAAAGUGGACUAGAAACAAAACAGCAGUAUUAAGUCACUAAAGUUCUAGGAUUUUUCUGGGGGAAGCUAGUAGCACUAAUAACCCUGACUAGGACAGCCUUAGACAGUAAAUGUGACUGACCAGUGUUGAAAUCUUAUUAUUAAAAUAGCCAUGGCAUUUCACAGCAAUAAUCAUUUGUUUUGCCUCCAGAUUUCCCAUUAAAGUACACAGAUAAAAAUAUAAUGUAUUAUGUGAUCAAAAGGCAUGAUGACAUUUGCUGAAGUCAG
rnacentral:lncRNA from 1 species